AAAUAAUAUGAUUUAAUUUAAUUAGUAUUAAUUAAUUGAUAAUAUAAUAAUUUUAAAUUAGAAUUUAUUAAGUUAAAUUUUUAAAUUUUUAAAAAAUUUUUUUAUUUUUAAUGAGGUUAAGAAAUUUAAUUAAUAAACUAGGAUUAGAUACCCUAUUAUUUUAAAUGUAUUUUUAUAUACUAAAUUAGUAUUAGUUAUGUUCUUGAAAAUUAAAGAUUUUGGCGGUAUUUUAGUCUAUUCAGAGGAACCUGUUCUAUAAUUGAUAGUCCACGAUUUAAUCUACUUUUUUUAUUAGUUUGUAUAUCGUCGUAAUUUGAAUAUUUUAUAAGAAAGAUAAUAUUCAAAAUUUUUUACAUGAAAAUAAAUCAGAUCAAGGUGCAGUUUAUAAAAAAGAAGAAAUGGGUUACAAUAAAAUUAUUUAAGGAUUAUUAUUUAUAAAAUAAUAUGAAUUUGGAUUUGAGGGUAAAUUUAAUUAAUUAAUUAAAUUGAUUUUAGCUCUAAAAU
rnacentral:rRNA from 1 species